UGUUCCAAAGACCAACUAGCUUGUAAAGGAUCAGGUGAAAGCAAUAAUGAGAAGUCUUACCUGCCCAAGCCAGGACAAAGUACUUAGCCGGCACCAUCUCCAGAAGUCGUAUCCAGAAGAAGGGGUCGGAGGCAUCUGGCAGUCUCCAGAGCGCAGCUUCAAGGGGAGGCUCUGAGGUCUGCCCAGUGACUUGCGAAGGGACCGCCUCUCCCAGUGGGAGGUGUCACUGGUGGGUCCCCAAGAGAAGCCAGAGAGGCUCCUGCUUGCGUCUGGAGAAGGACACUGUUCCUGCCUGUUGGGGUCCUUUUACUUCUCCUGCUUCGGCUCUUGUUCAAGACUUUUCAGAAAUUGUCAGUUUCCCUGAAGAAAGGCGACAAGACAGGAUCCUCUACCUGCAAGUCUCUUUUGGAGUUCAAAAGCCAAGAGGACCAUUUUACUGGAGAUGAGCUUCCAUUUCGUCGUGAUGGUCCUUCUUUCUCUGCACAGUGAGUGUUUUUGGAAACUCAUCUGUCUAAUUACUGAGAUGCACAGAACACU
rnacentral:lncRNA from 11 species